AGUGUAGUGGAGCAAUGGGUCAGUGUGUCUGGCUAUUAACCAGAAGGCUGGUGGUUUGAGUCCACCAAAGGAUGACUG